AGAUUGAACGCUGGCGGCAGGCCUAACACAUGCAAGUCGAACGGUAACAGGAAGAAGCUUGCUCUUGCUGACGAGUGGCGGACGGGUGAGUAAUGUCUGGGAAACUGCCUGAUGGAGGGGGGAUAACUACUGGAAACGGUAGCUAAUACCGCAUAACGUCGCAAGACCAAAGAGGGGGACCUUCGGGCCUCUUGCCAUCGGAUGUGCCCAGAUGGGAUUAGCUUGUUGGUGGGGUAACGGCUCACCAAGGCGUCGAUCCCUAGCUGGUCUGAGAGGAUGACCAGCCACACUGGAACUGAGACACGGUCCAGACUCCUACGGGAGGCAGCAGUGGGGAAUAUUGCACAAUGGGCGCAAGCCUGAUGCAGCCAUGCCGCGUGUAUGAAGAAGGCCUUCGGGUUGUAAAGUACUUUCAGCGGGGAGGAAGGGAGUAAAGUUAAUACCUUUGCUCAUUGACGUUACCCGCAGAAGAAGCACCGGCUAACUCCGUGCCAGCAGCAGC
rnacentral:rRNA from 1 species